rfam:Chromatiales bacterium TSCg_Taylor scaffold_25, whole genome shotgun sequence.
UCUGGCGGCUAUAGCGAGCGGGAACCACCCGAUCCCAUCUCGAACUCGGUAGUGAAACCGUUCAGCGCCGAUGAUAGUGUGGGAUAGCCCAUGUGAAAGUAGGUCACCGCCAGGC